GCCCCUAUAGCUCAGUCGGGAGAGCAGCGGACUUUUAAUCCGCGGGUCGCGGGUUCGAGCCCCGCUGGGGGCA
rnacentral:tRNA from 1 species